UGUGGCCCUGUCGACCCGGAAACGUGAAUCCCGCCAGGCCGGAAACGGAGCAACGGUAGCGCGGAAGGGUGUGGCAGGGCCUUUCCU
rnacentral:SRP_RNA from 1 species